CAGCAGUUUUCUAGCACUCCACCUGUGAUGACGCUGGGAACUACCUUCAUGCUUCAGUUUUAAGGCAUGACUGACGAGGUUUUUUGGCUACUGUUUGAAGGAGCCACUGGCGUGCAGCUAGAGACGUUAAUACGGAAGCAUGAUGUGACCUGUCUGAAUUAAGUUCUAGUAAACAUUGGCCCAUGUCACAAGAAUCACCAUUUGCUGUCACAGUAAUAAGGGCAGCUGAAGACACACUGAGAAUUGCCAUUCUAUGCCCUUCAAGGAAGCCUUCUAGGACUGGUAUACUGGCACAACUGUGGCCAUUCUAGAAGCAAAACCUAAAGUCCUCCCUCUCCAAUCAACAGCACUUGUAGGAGUAGACCCAGGCUUCUGACAAGAGGUACAAUCAGUCCAUCCUUGAGCAAUCCUAACAGUUCAAUACUUAGAAAACAAUGCCAGUCAUUGGUGCU
rnacentral:lncRNA from 1 species